rnacentral:lncRNA from 10 species
GGGGUGCAGGCUGGAUAAGGGGCCGUUCUUGCGGAUUGGCAGCCAGUUUGGGCAGCUCGGUUGGAGGGGUUGUUCUCCAGUAUUACUGGCCAUGGUUCGGGCAGCCUGGACUUUAUGGGGGAAUGCAGGGAUUGUUUGGAGCAAUCAGCACCCAUAGGCUGGGCAGGCUCGAUUCUUUAUUGGGGGGUGUCUUGCUAUGUUACCCAGGCUGGACUCAAAUUCCUUGGCUCAAGUGAUCCUCCCACCUCCUCAGCCUCCCAAAGUGCUGGAAUUACAGGCGUGAGUUGCUGCACCCAGCCUGCUCAGUGACGUUGAUGUUAGCCAGAUUCCAUCUUAUCUAUGGAAAACGGAAGCACAACAGGUGAAGUUGCCUGCCAAGUCAGCCAGCUGGUGGCUGCUUCCUCUGUACACCUCACCCCAAAUCUGAAAGCUCUUGGAAGGAGCAGUGCCUCACACACACCACAGCCAUUCUGGUGCCGGGUUGGAGCAGCUGCACAUUUAUAAACGCCUGCCCAUUGCCUGAUCUCAGGGUGCCACUGAGGACGAGGGGCCUGUGCACAGCACGCGUGUGAUGUGCACUUCUGGGUCACAAGAGUCCUGGGGAGACUCCAGAGGAAAAACCACCCAUAGGCACUAUGCCAUGACCACACCCAUGGACAACAGGACAGUUGUGACUCAGUCACCAGGAAGAACGCUGGCCAGAGAUGAGAGAUUCUGAGGGUGAUUUUCUUUCCCUGACCUGAUGAGCCAGAGCUCUGGCCACUGCGCUGUCUCCCGGGGCCAGCUGAGAGAACUCCACCUCCAGAGGCCCAGAGCCUUGGAAUGGAAGGGUGCAGCUUGCAGGGGCUUCUAUUAGGGACACAGAGGGCCAGACACCAAUAAACUGCCCUCUGCUUGCUGCCAUUAGGGUCAACAGAAUCAGUGCUGCGGGGACCAACUCAGCCUGACCCACUGUGAACAGUGCCCUGCUCACGGUGCUGGGAAGAUACCAACAUUUGUGAAAUAUGAGGCACAUUGUUUUCUAUACAUUUGGGGGAAAAUGGCAACUGUAAAAAUGACAUAAUAGGCCGGAUUUGGUGGCUCACGCCUGUAAUCCCAGUACUUUGGAGGCCGAGAGGGGCGCAUUGCUUGAGUCCGGGGUUUAAGACUGGGCAAUAUCUCGGAACCCUAUCUCUAGAAAGAAUACAAAAAUUAGUUAGACAGCGGUGCCUGCCUGUGGUCCCAGCUACUUAGAAGGCUGAGGCGGAAGGAUCGCUUGAGCCUGGGAGGUGGAGGUUGCAGUGAACUGAGAUCCCACUACUGCACUCCAGCCUCGGGGACAGAGCCAGACCGUGUCUCAAAAAAAAAAAAAAAAAAAAAAAAGUAGCAGAGGGUGGAGCUGGACAGACCUGCUGUCCUGUGUUGGUUCUUAUUACUGGUAUUAUUACCAGUGCCCACCUGCUGAUUCGGACUCUUAGCGACCCCUCCACAGCACUGUCCUGAGGGUGAAAUGAGAUCGGGGACAAAGUGCCACCAACUGGAAAAGGUUAACUCAGAACCAUCUGGCACCCACCAGAACUUCCUACGCCGGGAGUGCGUCAGAACCAGCCGAGGGUGUGAAAGCGGACACUGUCACACUGUGGUAGGAUUCUAAAUCAUUCACUAUUUACAUGAGCACAGAAAUAAACUAGAAUAAGAUGUGUUAAUUUUCUGUGUUAAUUAUCACAGACCGCACUCUAUCCCCUGGCGGUUCUGCAGGUCGGAGCCGGGUAUGCGCUCCUCCUGAAGCGGGCUCACGGGCCUGGCGGGCCCAGGACAAGGGGUGGGGGUAGGAGAAGGGAGGGCUGGGGGCAAAGCAGCCUCUCCCCGGCCUCGCCCCG